rnacentral:tRNA from 4 species
GCGGGAAUAGCUCAUUUGGUAGAGCGCCGCCUUGCCAAGGCGGAGGUGGCGGGUUCGAGCCCCGUUUCCCGCUCCA